AUGCAACAUUUCCAUGAGGAAGGAGACCUCAGGGGAAGGAGAGCUCUGGAACUGACUCUCCAUGCGCUGGCCACCAGAUUCCCUCUAGACUGCAGCUCCUCUCUGGCCAGUGUUUCGUGUGGAUGGGAAGGAUUACUAUCCAAGGAGGUCCAUAUAAUACCAAGAAAAGCUAUUCCCUUUCAUCUCAGCUGGCAUAAAAGCUCCUACAAAAUAAUGGUUGCAGGGGGAGAAAGUUACAGAGCAAGAUCCAAUUAUAAAGGGGCGGUGAAGAACCCCAGACAUGACACGCAGCGAACAGCAGAUAGGGAGGAGGAGCAGGAAACUCAAGCAGGUGUUGAGACUCCUCUUUGA
ensembl:lncRNA